GCCAGAGCCAUAUCACCCUGCAGUUCUCGCCUGGUUUCCCACUGAGCCUGGGUUGAGCCUAGCCAGUACCAGGAUGGGAGACCUCCUGGGGAAAACUAGGAUUGCUGCUGGAA
rnacentral:rRNA from 1 species